AGUGAACGCUGGCGGUAGGCCUAACACAUGCAAGUCGAACGGCAGCACAGUAAGAGCUUGCUCUUACGGGUGGCGAGUGGCGGACGGGUGAGGAAUACAUCGGAAUCUACUUUUUCGUGGGGGAUAACGUACGGAAACUUACGCUAAUACCGCAUACGACCUACGGGUGAAAGCAGGGGAUCUUCGGACCUUGCGCGAUUGAAUGAGCCGAUGUCGGAUUAGCUAGUUGGCGGGGUAAAGGCCCACCAAGGCGACGAUCCGUAGCUGGUCUGAGAGGAUGAUCAGCCACACUGGAACUGAGACACGGUCCAGACUCCUACGGGAGGCAGCAGUGGGGAAUAUUGGACAAUGGGCGCAAGCCUGAUCCAGCCAUACCGCGUGGGUGAAGAAGGCCUUCGGGUUGUAAAGCCCUUUUGUUGGGAAAGAAAAGCAGCAGGUUAAUACCCCGCUGUUCUGACGGUACCCAAAGAAUAAGCACCGGCUAACUUCGUG
rnacentral:rRNA from 1 species